rnacentral:lncRNA from 1 species
GUGACUUGAUUAACGUUUAAGCAACAAAAACGACUUUUUAGCAACUUGAGCAUUUUUCUAUAAGCGGUCACCUGGGAUUGACAAUGCAACCAUGAGGGCUAUAAUGGCUCUGGCUUUAGUCAAGUAAGAGUACCUUUUCUAGCUUGUCACAUGUUACCUGUGUGGUGUAAAUGGAAAAUAGCAGACCUUGGAUCCCUGCGUGGU